CGACCCCGCCAGCCCUCAUGGUAAUGCCCCCACAGCAGAACGAUAUAGACAAACCAUGCCACAAUAGAGAGCACGGC
rnacentral:tRNA from 1 species